rnacentral:rRNA from 2 species
UACAGAGGGUGCGAGCGUUAAUCGGAUUUACUGGGCGUAAAGGGCGCGUAGGCGGUUUAAUAGGUGUGAUGUGAAAGCCCUGGGCUUAACCUGGGAAGUGCAUCGCAAACGAUUGAACUGGAGUAGAUGAGAGGGUGGCGGAAUUUCCGGUGUAGCGGUGAAAUGCGUAGAGAUCGGAAGGAACGUCGAUGGCGAAGGCAGCCACCUGGCAUCAUACUGACGCUGAGGCGCGAAAGCGUGGGGAGCGAACAGG